UACGAAGGGGGCUAGCGUUGCUCGGAAUCACUGGGCGUAAAGGGUGCGUAGGUGGCGGGGCAAGUCUGGUGUGAAAUCCCGUGGCUCAACCCUGGAACUGCACUGGAUACUGCUUUGCUAGAGUACUGGAGAGGGAACUGGAAUUUACGGUGUAGCAGUGAAAUGCGUAGAUAUCGUAAGGAAGACCAGUGGCGAAGGCGAGUUCCUGGACAGUUACUGACACUGAGGCACGAAGGCCAGGGGAGCAAACGGG
rnacentral:rRNA from 1 species